rnacentral:rRNA from 1 species
CCUACGGGCGGCAGCAGUGAGGAAUAUUGGUCAAUGGGCGAGAGCCUGAACCAGCCAAGUCGCGUGAGGGAGUACUGCCCUAUGGGUUGUAAACCUCUUUUGUCGGGGAGCAAAAGCCGGACGUGUCCGGCUGUGAGAGUACCCGAAGAAAAAGCAUCGGCUAACUCCGUGCCAGCAGCCGCGGUAAUACGGAGGGUGCGAGCGUUAAUCGGAAUUACUGGGCGUAAAGCGCUCGUAGGCGGUAUGUCAAGUCAAGGGUGAAAUCCCCGCGCUCAACGUGGGAACUGCCUUUGAAACUGGCAAACUGGAGUGUGUGAGAGGAUAGUGGAAUUCCAGGUGUAGCGGUGAAAUGCGUAGAUAUCAGGAGGAACACCGGUGGCGAAGGCGGCCUGCUGGACUGCAACUGACGUUGAGGCCCGAAAGCGUGGGGAGCAAACAGGAUUAGAUACCCCAGUAGUC